UCGCUAAGGAGAAGUUAAUGGUUACAAGUUAAAAGAUCAUUUAGGUUGCAAAGUCAAGCAUUUGGAAAUGAGAAAAAUACCAGAAUUUAUGUCAUCUGUGUGUUCCCCACCGCUCAACAGAUAUCAAAUGGGACAGAGAUUUGCCUUACUAAUAGAUGCUAAACCUGUCAACACAUCUCCUCUGCUACAACCAUGAACAUACCCCACAACAAACCCAUCAGAAUUCUACACCUGCCUUUCCCUAAACAUGAUAUAGCAGAUCUAAUGCACCAAAUGUUCUUGUGAUCAUCAACAAUCCCUUGCAGUGGAGGAUGAUUGCCUUCCAUAUAACAGCUUUACCUGAAGAUGGCUGACAAGGUCAAUCCAGGAUCAACAGACUCUGUUGCAACUCAGGCAUCCAAAUGUUUUUCUUGCACAUUUGAGGAGAUGUUGGAUUUCUUCAUCAAUGUCAGCCUUCUGCAAGAGAUGGCUUCCAAGUUUAGCUCCACUCUGGAAGCUUCUUGGUGGUCAGACGUAGCAUCACAGUAAGGAAUAUCAUGAAGUGUUGGAGCUAUGAUGCAGCCUUGCUUAAUUCCCAGCUUAACCUCAAAGGGAUCUGUUAGAGAACCACAACUUGCAUACCAUCAUGGAGCAGGCAAAAAAUGAAGAUGAAUUUCGGUGGACAUCCGCACCUCAGAAGGAUCCUCCAUAUCGCUUCUCUGUUGACUGGGUUGAAGGGCGCGUCCACACAUGCAAGCAUGUGCACUUGCAGCAGCUCAAAUAGAAGCGGUACAAAUUUGAGCCAGGGCUUUUUUCCUCAGCGCACGUGCUCAGGCAUGCACUUUGUUGUGGAGCAAAUUGUGCCACCUGGGGCAAAAUAACCCUGCCUGGCUCCUCCCAGAUCUGCAGCCAGGGGGAGCUGGAGCCUGGGGCCAGCACCUGUGCUGUCCCCAUCAGUACAAAAAGCUGCCCUGGCAAAUAGCUCGGUGCUACUCGCUCUCAGGAGCUUCUGGGGCCCAGUCAAUUGGUGCCUGGGGACAAUACCCAUUGUGCCAGCUGGACUGCUGCAGCAGCAUCUGAAAUCCAUUUUUAAAAAUACCACAAAAUCUAUGUUCCACAGUUAAAGCAAAAAAACACUCUCUUUCUCUCUGUGGGGAGAGAGAGAGAGAGAGAGAGAGAGAGAGAGAGAGAGAGAGAGAGAGAGAGAUCAGUUGAGUAAUGUUUUAUUGGUAUAUUUACAAUGUUAAAGCAAUUUG